UAAAUUUUUUGGUCAAGCUACUAAGAGCUUAUGGUGGAUGACUUGGCUCGUAGAGGCGACGAAGGACGCGGUAAGCGGCGAUAUGCUUCGGGGAGUCGCAAACAGACUUUGAUCCGGAGAUUUCCGAAUGGGGGAACCCGGCAGGAGUAAUGUCCUGUCACCCGAAAGGGGGCUAACCAGGAGAACUGAACCAUCUAAGUACCUUGAGGAAAAGAAACCAAUCAGGUAUUCCCUGAGUAGCGGCGAGCGAAACGGGAUCAGCCUAAACCCUUGGAACGCGAUAACCUGCAUGUGUUGUUUCAGGGGUGUAGUGGGGGAGGUCCGGAGCGGAAUGCAGUCCGCUCGGCUUCAGUUCGUUCCAUAGCCGAAUAACCUGGAAAGGUUAACCAAAGAUCGUGAUAGUCGUGUAGGCGAAAUGGUGCGGACCGGCUGGGACCUUUUCCCGAGUACCACGGGACACGUGGAACCCUGUGGGAAUCCGCCAGGACCAUCUGGUAAGGCUAAAUACUCCUACGAGACCGAUAGUGAACCAGUAAUGUGAAUGAAAGUUGAAAAGUACCCCGGUGAGGGGAGUGAAAUAGUACCUGAAACCGUAAGCUUACAAGCUGUGGAAGGCCUAUGCCCUGAUCUAGUCAGGGAAUGGCUGACUGCGUGCCUUUUGAUUAAUGAACCGGCGAGUUAGUCUAUUCAGCGAGGUUAACCUGUUCUGCAGGGAAGCCGAAGCGAAAGCGAGUCUUAAUAGGGCGAAUUAGUUGGAUGGAUUAGACCCGAAACUAGGUGAUCUAUCCAUGGCCAGGUUGAAGCUCGGGUAAAACUGAGCGGAGGACCGAACCCACCUGCGUUGAAAAGUAGGGGGAUGAGCUGUGGAUCGGAGUGAAAGGCUAAUCAAACCUAGAGAUAGCUGGUUCUCCCCGAAAUAGCUUUAGGGCUAGCCUCAUAUUUGACGGCGACGGGGGUAGAGUACUGAAUGGGCUAGGGGGCUUACCAGCUUACUGAACCCAAUCAAACUCCGAAUACCGUCGUACCGUGAUAUGGGAGUCAGACUGUGGGGGAUAAGCUCCAUGGUCAAAAGGGAAACAGCCCAGACCGCCAGCUAAGGUCCCUAAAUACGAGCUAAGUGGCUAAGGAUGUGAGACUGCUUAGACAACCAGGAUGUUGGCUUAGAAGCAGCCAUCAUUUAAAGAUAGCGUAACAGCUCACUGGACAAUUGUGAUUCUGCGCCGAAAAUGAUCGGGGCUCAAGCAUACUACCGAAGCUGCGGAGCUUAGUUCUCUUCGGAGAACUGGGUUGGUAGGGGAGCGUUCCAUUGUAGGUUGAAGGCGGACCGUAAGGACCGUUGGACGAAAUGGAAGUGAUUAUGCCGGUAUGAGUAGCGAAAAAAUACGUGAGAAACGUAUUCGCCGUAAGCCCAAGGUUUCCUGAGGAAGGUUAAUCCGCUCAGGGUUAGUCGGGCCUAAGCCGAGGCCGAAAGGCGUAGGCGAUGGACAUCAGGUUUAAUAUUCCUGAACUACCUAGGCCGCGUUAUGAGUGCAGCGUGACGGAGAAAGCUAGACCAGCGCACGGUUGGUUGUGUGCGUUUAAGCCUGUAGCCCUUCGGGGUGAGGGGUUAUGACGAGCCUGAUCUACGGAGAAGGCGAAGUGGUUGAGGCUAGGCUUCCAAGAAAAACCGCUGUUACCAGUUGUCUAGGUAACCGUACCGUAAACCGACACAGGUAGGCGAGUAGAAUAUACUAAGGCGCUCGAAAUAACUCUCGUUAAGGAACUCGGCAAAAUUGCCCCGUAACUUUGGGAGAAGGGGUGCCCCGUUAGCGUGAAAGACUUCGCGUCCGGAGCGUGAGGGGGUGACACUAAAGAGGCCCAAGCGACUGUUUAGCAAAAACACAUCUCUCUGCUAACUCGUAAGAGGACGUAUAGGGAGUGACACCUGCCCGGUGCUGGAAGGUUAAUAGCUUCGGUGAUUCUUCGGAUGAGCUGCGGCUUGAAGCCCCAGUAAACGGCGGCCGUAACUAUAACGGUCCUAAGGUAGCGAAAUUCCUUGUCGGGUAAGUUCCGACCCGCACGAAUGGUGCAACGACUUGGGCGCUGUCUCAACGAGGGAUUCGGUGAAAUUGGAGUAUCGGUGAAGAUACCGGUUACCCGCAGAAGGACGAAAAGACCCCGGAACCUUUACUGUACGCUGGUAUUGGAUUUUGGCCUGGCAUGUGUAGGAUAGUUGGGAGACUUUGAAGCGGGGGCGCCAGCCUCCGUGGAGUCAUUGGUGAAAUACCAACCUUGUUAUGUUAGGAUUCUAACCUGUCUGUCUGAAUCGACAGCAGGGACCGUGCCAGCCUGGCAGUUUGACUGGGGCGGUUUCCUCCUGAAGAGUAACGGAGGAGUUCAAAGGUUACCUCAGCGCGGUCGGCAAUCGCGCAUCGAGUGUAAAGGCAUAAGGUAGCUUAACUGCGAGACCUACAAGUCGAGCAGGUACGAAAGUAGGACUUAGUGAUCCGGCGGUUCUGUAUGGAAGGGCCGUCGCUCAACGGAUAAAAGGUACUCCGGGGAUAACAGGCUUAUCUCAUCCAAGAGUUCAUAUCGACGAUGAGGUUUGGCACCUCGAUGUCGGCUCAUCACAUCCUGGGGCUGGAGAAGGUCCCAAGGGUCCGGCUGUUCGCCGGUUAAAGUGGUACGUGAGCUGGGUUCAGAACGUCGCGAGACAGUUCGGUCUCUAUCCUCUGUGGGCGUAGGAAAUUUGAAGGGAUCAGUCCCUAGUACGAGAGGACCGGGAUUGUCGAACCUCUGGUGUUCCUGUUGUCCUGCCAAGGGCAGUAGCAGGGUAGCUAAGUUCGGAAAGGAUAAGCGCUGAAAGCAUCUAAGCGCCAAGCCCCCCCUGAGAAUAGAUUUCCCCAUCAGCCACCUUGAAGACGACGAGGUUGAUAGGCUCCAGGUGUAAGCUCUGUAAUGGGUUCAGCUUAGGAGUACUAAUCUGGCGAUCGGCUUGACCUUAUUUUUAU
rnacentral:rRNA from 1 species